rnacentral:ncRNA from 1 species
UGGUGGGGUAGAGGCGCGGAAAAUAUGAGUAAUAUAAUGGAGGCCGGCAGCCGUUGAAAUUAUAUGAAAGGAUAACCGCCGAAGCAUUCAGAAUGCCUGUCUGUAUGCUGGGCCUGUAUCAAAGAGGUACGGGACUGUCACAUAUGGUUUCCCUUAAAUUAUAUGUGGAGAGCUAUCUUGCUU